CCAGACUCCUACGGGAGGCAGCAGUGAGGAAUAUUGGUCAAUGGGCUAAGGCCUGAACCAGCCAAGUCGCGUGAGGGAAGACGGUCCUAUGGAUUGUAAACCUCUUUUGUCGGGGAGCAACGAGGCCACGUGUGGCCGAAGUGAGAGUACCCGAAGAAAAAGCAUCGGCUAACUACGUGCCAGCAGCCGCGGUAAUACGUAGGGAGCGAGCGUUGUCCGGAAUUACUGGGUGUAAAGGGAGCGUAGGCGGGGAUGCAAGUUGGGUGUCAAAACUACCGGCUCAACUGGUAGUCGCACUCAAAACUGCAGCUCUUGAGUGAAGUAGAGGCAGGCGGAAUUCCUAGUGUAGCGGUGAAAUGCGUAGAUAUUAGGAGGAACACCAGUGGCGAAGGCGGCCUGCUGGGCUUUUACUGACGCUGAGGCUCGAAAGUGUGGGGAGCAAACAGGAUUAGAUACCCGAGUA
rnacentral:rRNA from 1 species